rnacentral:rRNA from 1 species
GUGGGGAAUUUUGGGCAAUGGGCGCAAGCCUGACCCAGCGACGCCGCGUGGGGGAUGAAGGCCUUCGGGUUGUAAACCCCUGUCAGGUGGGAAGAAAGGUCGGUCGGCAAACAGCCGGCAGACCCUGACGGUACCGCCAAAGGAAGCCCCGGCUAACUCCGUGCCAGCAGCCGCGGUAAUACGGAGGGGGCAAGCGUUAUUCGGAAUUACUGGGCGUAAAGCGCACGUAGGCGGCAAGGCAAGUCGUAGGUGAAAGCCCUCAGCUCAACUGAGGAACUGCCUUUGAAACUGCUUUGCUUGAGUCCGGGAGAGGAGAGCGGAAUUCCCAGUGUAGCGGUGAAAUGCGUAGAUACUGGGAGGAACACCGGUGGCGAAGGCGGCUCUCUGGACCGGCACUGACGCUGAGGUGCGAAAGCGUGGGUAGCAAACAGGAUUAGAUACCCUGGUAGUCC